rnacentral:rRNA from 1 species
GACGAACGCUGGCGGCGUGCUUAACACAUGCAAGUCGAACGGAAAGACCCUGCUUUUGUGGGGUGCUCGAGUGGCGAACGGGUGAGUAACACGUGAGUAACCUGCCCUUGACUUUGGGAUAACUUCAGGAAACUGGGGCUAAUACCGGAUAGGAGCUCCUGCUGCAUGGUGGGGGUUGGAAAGUUUCGGCGGUUGGGGAUGGACUCGCGGCUUAUCAGCUUGUUGGUGGGGUAGUGGCUUACCAAGGCUUUGACGGGUAGCCGGCCUGAGAGGGUGACCGGCCACAUUGGGACUGAGAUACGGCCCAGACUCCUCCGGGAGGCAGCAGUGGGGAAUAUUGCACAAUGGGCGGAAGCCUGAUGCAGCAACGCCGCGUGCGGGAUGACGGCCUUCGGGUUGUAAACCGCUUUCGCCUGUGACGAAGCGUGAGUGACGGUAAUGGGUAAAGAAGCACCGGCUAACUACGUG